UGGGGACGUGCGAUGCUCCCCACGAGGCGACAUGCCGAAGUUAUCGC
rnacentral:ncRNA from 1 species